rnacentral:rRNA from 1 species
UGGGGANUCUUCCGCAAUGGGCGAAAGCCUGACGGAGCAACGCCGCGUGAGUGAAGAAGGUCUUCGGAUCGUAAAGCUCUGUUGCCGGGGACGAAUGUAGGCAGUGCAAACAGCAUUGUGUAAUGACGGUACCCGGCGAGGAAGCCACGGCUAACUACGUGCCAGCAGCCGCGGUAAUACGUAGGUGGCGAGCGUUGUCCGGAAUUAUUGGGCGUAAAGGGAGCGCAGGCGGGCGAGUAAGUCUUUCUUAAAAGUGCGGGGCUCAACCCCGUGAGGGGAGAGAAACUACUCAUCUUGAGUGCAGGAGAGGAAAGCGGAAUUCCUAGUGUAGCGGUGAAAUGCGUAGAUAUUAGGAAGAACACCAGUGGCGAAGGCGGCUUUCUGGACUGUAACUGACGCUGAGGCUCGAAAGCCAGGGGAGCGAACGGGAUUAGAUACCCCGGUAGUCCUGGCCGUAAACGAUGAAUGCUAGGUGUAGGGGGUAUCGACCCCUCCUGUGCCGGAGUUAACGCAAUAAGCAUUCCGCCUGGGGAGUACGGUCGCAAGACUG